rnacentral:tRNA from 1 species
GGAGAGGUGCUGGAGUGGUUGAUCAGGCUCGCCUGGAAAGCGUGUAACGGGGCAACUCGUUCGUGGGUUCGAAUCCCACCCUCUCCGCCA